rnacentral:lncRNA from 1 species
CGCCCGAGCUGGGCAAUCAGAAUCCGCGUGCUGGGGCCCUGGACUCCAGAGACUCUUGUGUGAGUGUCUCUCCAAUGCAAGAAGGUGUCAGCUGGGGCCCAGGCGUGGGUCGCAGGAAGCGUGCAGGGGGCACGGUGCCGCACAUCGAAGCCAGAGCCCUGCCGCAGCCUCGGACCGGGGCCCAGGAGACCCGGGAUUCUCAGGACGAGUCCUCCCUCUUCUGGCUUAGGCCUGACCGGGUUCCUCUCUGUUUCGUGCAACCACAAAAAUCCUAAUUACUCCCCUUCUGUCGUUGGAGCACAGGCAGAAACACGUCGACAUCCCCCGCGAGCUCCCUGAGGACGUCGAUAAGUGGAGUCUCUGCUUUCAACCAUGUUCUGAGUCUUAAAUCUUGGACACGCAGCCUCGAUGCGGGGCUGGAGGGGAUGCUCUGGGGAACCCCGGGCAGGCUGCUGGCGGGUGCAGCUCCCGGCGCUCCCCCACUCCCCCAGCCCGGACACACGGCUGCUCUCCAGGAGCCCAGGUUGGGUGGGAGUCCGUGUUCUGACGCGAAGGGGACCGCAGUGGGUGUUUAGGCACACGGGGGCUCCCAGGGGGCCGGGGCUGGGUCCCGCCUCCCCCGUUCACAAGGCACACGGCCCUGGGCAAAUUAUUUAAUCUUUUGAAGCCUUCCUUUAAAAUUUGUCAGUUGGAAGACAAUGAUACUGUCGGGUUUUGAGGAUUAAGUAAGAUUUUGCUUAUUAUGGUUAUGAGGCCAACUGGGUCCCCCCUGCCCCAGCCCAUCUCGUACGCGGGACUCCUGGCCCCAGCACCAGAACGGGACCUUAUUUGGAGGCCGGGUCUUUACAGACGGGUCCAGCUAGGCGGGGGUCACUAGGUGGGCCUCAUCCGGCACGUCCUUGUUGAAAGGGGGAUUUGGCCCCAGAUGGGCACGCAGGGGGAGCCCCAUGUGAAGUGGGGGAGGGAGCAGGAUGCACAUGUAUGAGUGACAGCGAAGCCGCCACCAGACUCCAGCGCGAGAGGCUGGCGCAGAUUCCCCGCCCGGGUCCUCGGGAGGCUCCUGCCCCGCUGUGGCCUCCACCUCAGACGUCCAGGCCCCAACCUGGGUUCCUGCCGGCAAUUGCUCUUUCCUUCCCGGGGGAGGGGGAGCGGAAGUGUGUGCACAUCAUGGUAUUUCCAGAUGUGAAAUCUCCGUUGAGCAGAGAGAGAGGGUUCUCUCCGGUGUGUGGUCGGCUGAGUCCGGAGCCCGUCCCAGUCCCUGGAACCUGAGCCUCCGUCGCCUGCCGCAGGGAUUUUGCAGAUGGGAUGGAGCAAGGGCCCUGGAGCGGGAGGCGUCCCCGGAGCCCCGGAGGCCCGGACACCGGCACAGACGGUCACGAGGGGCUGGCAGGAGGGUCGGGUCACCGGGAUCACUGGGAGGCGGCCUUGAAGAGUCGGAACAAUGGGUCUUCGUGGGCAGCCCGUCCCUCCCGUGGAGCGCGUGGCCGAGGAGGGGUCCGAGGAAGGGCUGCGUCUCUAACCUGCAGGCCUCCUGGGGGACGACGUGUUUGCUUUGGCCCAUAAAUCAGUCCCACGGAUCACUUCGGGAAUCGUUAGGCUUUAUCAUGACGCGUUGCCACCUUUGAGGGAAUAAUUGCCCAGUUUGGCCAACUUGGGACCUGCUUCCUUCAUCUUAAUUUCCUCUCUGGGGAUGCCCUAAUUAGUAUUUACUUUCACUUAAAAGAGAGAAAUUUCUUCUGAUGCAAUCAACAGUUUCCCUUGCGUGCCAAGCUUGUUUUAUGAUAUUAAGCAUUUAAAUAAAAAAUUAUAAACGUACCGUGAAAUGCUGAUGGGG